CGGAUCGUAAAGCUCUGUUGUUAGGGAAGAACAAGUGCGAGAGUAACUGCUCGCACCAUGACGGUACCUAACCAGAAAGCCACGGCUAACUACGUGCCAGCAGCCGCGGUAAUACGUAGGUGGCAAGCGUUGUCCGGAAUUAUUGGGCGUAAAGGGCUCGCAGGCGGUUUCUUAAGUCUGAUGUGAAAGCCCCCGGCUCAACCGGGGAGGGUCAUUGGAAACUGGGAAACUUGAGUGCAGAAGAGGAGAGUGGAAUUCCACGUGUAGCGGUGAAAUGCGUAGAGAUGUGGAGGAACACCAGUGGCGAAGGCGACUCUCUGGUCUGUAACUGACGCUGAGGAGCGAAAG
rnacentral:rRNA from 1 species